UGAUAAGCAUGCCACAGGUGAUGAUGGAAAGUUUCUGCACCCCAUAACCCUCUCAGCAUAUACAGCCAUCCAAAUCAGAGCAAUCAAACCAAAUCAGAAAACAAAAACAGUUUUAAUGAACAAAAUGCUCCCAGAUGAUUUCCAGCGCCCUUACCCCCACCCUGGGUAGACUGAAAAGAGAGACUGGAAAACCACAGGUCUGUUUGGGGGGGGGACAGUUAAAUACCCUGUGGAAGUUGUCUUGUGUAUCUCUGGGGGAGAGGUCAUCAUUUGGCAGGCUUCCUGAAGGCAGCAGGAUUUGGAGAGAUACAAGCAGCUUGGGGUCGAGCUUCCACCAGAACUUUCCAGAUUCUUUGGGCAUAUGAAUGCCAGUGUCUAGGGUGAAGCUUCCACCAGAACAGUGUUAUGCCUUCAUGCCUGAAGAGUGCACCAAAUCUCAAAAUUGUUGACUGAUAGUCACCCUGUGGUUGAUGGAAACUGAACUCCUGAAGAGCAGCUACUUUUCUUAACCUCUGAGCCAUCUCUCCAGCCACACUAGUGCCGGCCUCUGGGUUCCGGUAGAUGCUGUCCUUCAUGGUCCCCACCAGGGGACCCCGAGGGGCCCGGGACAUCCAGAUCUCGUCCCAGGAGAGGAGACGGGCCACACCGGACCAUGCCCUGGGGACAAGGACACAUCAAAAGAAGGAACAAUCCCUGCCAACCGCCCGGUUGCCAACCAGGUCCUGGGAGCGGGUCCCCACCCUAGCCAUCUCCUAGCAACCCUUCUGAGCUACCUCUGGCUCUGUCACAUUCCAUUUCCUCUCCACAGCCCUUCACCCCCACCCACCACCAGGAACCCCUGGGAAACUAUUCUUGACUUUCUCCGAAGUCCCCAAGUGUCCCUCAGACAUGGAAAUUUCUGGAUCCUCUGUGGACAGACACCUACCCUUGCCCGGGUCUAGACACUUACGGUACUAACAGCUCUCUGAAGAGAUUCCAGUGGGCCCAGGACAGGGAACCUAGACCCCCUGAGAGAAUAAGCAAUUCUCACUUGUCACACCAUGAUGAGUGCAGCACACACCCACUCUUGCCUUCCUUAGGGACCAAAUUCCUACCAAAUCCUCCUACCAAACUCCAGAUGUCCCAACAGUGAAACCUCCAGGUGCCCUGAUCCUUUCCCAUCAGGGGCCCAGACCCAGGGAACAGAAACAAGAAAGAGUCCAUAGACAGAAUUGUUCGGCCCACCAGCCUGCAUGCAAAUACAGCAUCCCACAAAAAUAAAUAAAUAAAUAAAUAAAUAAAUAAAUAAAUAAAUAAAAUGCAAACCAGCACACAGAGAUUGUGAGCCCCUAUACCCCAUCUCAUUCUCUCUGUCUCUCUAUCUUUCCAUCUCACCCUCUACCUCCUCCUCUCUUGUGCCUUGUUCUAUCCAGGGCUCCUAAUGACAGUCCCAUUAGUGGCACCUAGGGCUCUCUGGAUCCAAUGUUAUACGCUAUGCCAUUAGAAAAUGCUUUUCACUACACAACAGAGAACUGUCCUCCUAUAAACACCAAGGGCCUAAAGGGCCCCAUCUCCACACUGCUGACAUCUUUCAAGUGGCUCCUAGAAGAAGCCCACUCCCCCUGCCUCCUGGAGACAAACCUGUCUAGUCUCUUGCAUCUCUUCCUCUCUUCAUAGCCUCCUGGAGGUAUCUGCUCUGAGGCUACAAAGGAGCUCCCUGGGGGUGUUGGGUGGACAUGUGUGGGGAGCUCUAAAUUCAUAGAUGUGCCAGGCAGGACACUCCAAUGGAUACUCCUGCUAUCUUACCUAUGGUUCCCACACAAUGUACUCAUCCCUCAAGAGAGGAGUUCACACAUGCAACACACACACACACACACACACACACACACACACAGGACCACAUUAGACACUGUGCCCAUCUGAGCUGGAGCUGAAGGGUGGAGCCCUUCGCCUCCAUGAAAAUCUGCCUCUCCAUGGCAACCUGUCCAUCUGCUUCAACCCUGAGCUGACCUCCAUAACAGUUACAUACCCCGCUGUCUCUGGAAAUGAAUAUGGGCUCUCCCAGAACUAGCUUCCUGUCCAGAGAAGGCACAGAGAAUAAACCCAGACACAAACACAAGUUCUAGGAGAUCAGACAGACAAUGCUCCAGCAUAUUUCUCCACAAAAUUGGAACAGUUUUUCAAAUAUUAUAACAUAAAGUAUGUAACCGGUAUACCACACAAUUCUAGAGGACAAGCAGUGGCUGAGAGAUCUAAUAGAACACUUAAGGAGAUGCUCAACAAACAAUCUUGGAAGAAUAAACCCCCCAAACAUAGGUUGCAUAAUGCUUUAUUAACACUAAACUUUCUUAACGCCAAUGAAAAAGACAAACAGUUGCAGAAAGACACUGGACUACAGAAAAAAACUGCUGAACUCAAUCAACCGGUAUACUUCAAAGAUGUACUAACCUCUAUAUGGAAACCAGGACAUGUGUUACGAUGGGGUAGGGGUUUUGCAUUGGUUUCCACAGGAGAAGAAAAACUUUGGAUACCAUCAAAAUUGAUCGAGAUUCGAGUGGAAAAGGAAACCUCUCGAUGAGGACAAAUGACAGGUAUUCUACUUAGGUGUAUCUUAUAAACUAAAUUGAAACCUCCCAAAGGAAAGGGAAGUGUUUUGCUUUUAUCUUCACAGGAAAACUCAUCUUCAGAAGGCAAAGAACACUGCAUGGGUUGAUACUUAAGAAGAGAAGGUAGUUUAUAACCAUCAAACAAAAGGAACAUGCCAUACGUGUGGGUACCUCACAAGCAAACAUUUCUCUGCUGUUUAUGUUUGAGUCCCACACAACCAAUGAAGACCUGCCUGACAGCAAUCCCUGGACACCCUGGAAAGAAAAUGGGCCACACCUCCUCGACUGCACUGGAUCCAACUUGCUCCAUUUCAACUGACAUUCCUGCCGGAGAUUCGGGUACUGACUUCAAUCAAGUUGAGGAUUUCAAGCGAGAUCUUCAAUCAAGCAAAUCCCAUCUAACAUGGACUGGAUACAAUUUAUUCAAGGCUUUUACUAUACUAACAUUUUCUUCCUAUAGGACCCUACAAGGAUGUCAUGGUCCCAUUUCAGCAGGAAGUAACUUGGAGGAUGCUAAGCCCCCCUUUCUCCCAAUGUUGUCACUUAGGAUAGUGUAUAUACCUAGUUAGGGAUAGCUUCCUAUUGUUUAUGGUUGGGAUUAGAAGGAGGUGUUCAGGCUUGGACACCUCUUUCAGAUGACUUUAGGGUUUAGUUAAAAUAGUUAGGAUGUGACAUAAGCAGAUUGUUGUAUCUUCUUAUAUUUCACCUUUAUGAUUGUUAAUUUUGGAUACUUUGCCCUGUUAAGUAUCAAUCCUCUUUUAGACUGAAAGGGGAAUUGUAGUGGAACCUGUAGCCAUGCCUGCUUAGGACCUGGCUAAAGGUGUCCCUGACCACUCCUGCCAGGGUGUGAUCAGGGUGACAUAGAUUGAGAGGUUCAGGUGGCUGGGUUUCACUUUCGGUUUCACCUUUUGGUUUGCUGUACAGAGUGCUGCUAUGCCUCCUGGGUAGGUCACUCUGUAAGGCUUUUUCCUAUUAAAUACCCUUGUAUUUCUACCUGGCUCUUUAUUGGUAAUUUCCCACUUAACUGUGUGGCUACGAAAUAUGCUCU
ensembl:lncRNA